rnacentral:lncRNA from 1 species
CUUCUUUAUACUUUGAGUAUGUACCACUCCUUUGGCACGUAUUAUAUACAUUAUAGAGAAUUUAAUGUGAAUUGUAAAAGUUAACACAGUGUAAAAUUAAUGAUGAAAAUGAAAACUGUUUAUAAAGAGCAGGAAGAGAUGUUAACAGAUAAUCUGAGGUGAAAUGUUUGCUAUAAUGGGUCACAAAUGUGCCUGACUUUCCAAGCAGCUGAGCCAACCACAAGGCACAUUGGGUUACAUCAUCCUCACUUUACGGUUUAAUUUUCAGAAAGAGGAAGCAUAUGAAAAAGCUCUGCGGAAAUCAACGUUUUUCUGGGAUGAAACCUCACAAUACAUUUACAGUCCUGGAUUGGCGAGGCCUGAUGUCACUCAGUGCAGCAUGGUGAAGCACCCUUGAAAAUGAGUGGUGUCCUGGUUCGUUGGCUGGUCAGAACAUCAAACAAGGUCGAGUUUGGACGGGAUGGUAUGUCAACAUAAAAACCAUCUGGCAAGACCUUCUUAUUACCACCAUGACCUCUUGGGACCAUCAGGAUCCCAAGUGUUGAGAUCUCCGGUUGAGACUGAUGUUCAGUGAGAAGAAGAUGAAAAGAUGCCUAUGGCGAGGACAUUGAAACUCUGAUUGUGUGUGUUGAAGGGAGAGGAGACAGAGUUUGGAAAGAAGAAGAAACUUCUCCUUCAGCUGCUUCUGCGAGUCCAGCAUCAUAAUUGCAUGAAACGAUUUCAUCACUGUCAGCAAGAGCUGGAACCAGUUUCAUCAGGUGCUACUGAAAUGAUCAUUAACUAUGGCCAGUGAAGGAUUCCAGCUGACUCCGGGGUGAAGGAUGGAGCUCAAGAAACAAAGUUUCUGGAAUUGUGGGGAAAACAACCCAGAAGCAGAAGAGAAAUAGUUGAGAAUAUCUAACUCUGUGAAGUUAUGUCCGCAGGCCUUUGGCUACUUCUGACAAUACAGAUCCAAUUGUGUUUCUAAGUUUGGAAUUCAAACUAAAUAAGUUAGGUCUCAAGAGCCCUUUUACAUGGUUGGACUAUUGCUGAAUUUUUAAACGUUUGAUUCGUCU